rnacentral:pre_miRNA from 1 species
UCUUAUUAAUGACAAUAGUUUUCCCAGAGUGUUGAGUUCAUACAAGAUUUCUUGUGCUUGUAUGGUAAUUAAUCUCUGGUACAUAGAUUCCAUAAAAUACA